rnacentral:misc_RNA from 1 species
GCAAACUUGGUCAUUUAGAGGAAGUAAAAGUCGUAACAAGGUCUCCGUUGGUGAACCAGCGGAGGGAUCAUUACAGAGUUGUCCUAACUCCCAAACCCAUGUGAACAUACCGUCUGUUGCCUCGGCAGGUCAAGGCCCGCGUAGCGUGCCAGCACCCUGCCGGCGGCCCACGAAAUACUGUUUUCUUCUUGAAUUCUGAACUUGAAACAAAAAAAAUAAGCUAAAACUUUCAACAACGGAUCUCUUGGUUCUGGCAUCGAUGAAGAACGCAGC